GGCCUCAAAUCAGGUAGGACUACCCGCUGAACUUAAGCAUAUCAAUAAGCGGAGGAAAAGAAACUAACAAGGAUUCCCCUAGUAACGGCGAGUGAAGCGGGAAGAGCUCAAAUUUGAAAUCUGGUGGACUUUGUUCAUCCGAGUUGUAAUCUAGAGAAGUGUUUUCCGUGCCGGCCAAUGUACAAGUCCCUUGGAACAGGGCGUCAUAGAGGGUGAGAAUCCCGUACUUGACAUUGAUCACCGGCGCUCUGUGAUACAUUUUCAAAGAGUCGAGUUGUUUGGGAAUGCAGCUCAAAAUGGGUGGUAAAUUCCAUCUAAAGCUAAAUAUUGGCGAGAGACCGAUAGCGAACAAGUACCGUGAGGGAAAGAUGAAAAGCACUUUGGAAAGAGAG
rnacentral:rRNA from 1 species